rnacentral:rRNA from 1 species
UACGUAGGGGGGCAAGCGUUGUCCGGAUUUAUUGGGCGUAAAGGGCGCGUAGGCGGCUUCGCAAGUGGAAGGUGAAAUCCCUCGGCUUAACCGAGGAACUGCCCUCCAAACUGCCGUGGCUUGAGUCCGGGAGAGGUGGAGUGGAAUUCCCAGUGUAGCCGGUGAAAUGCGUAGAUAUUGGGAGGAACACCAGUGGCGAAGGGCGGCUCACUGGACCGGAACUGACGCUGAGGCGCGAAAGCGUGGGGAGCAAAGCGGGGAUUAAGAAA